rnacentral:rRNA from 1 species
GAUGAACGCUGGCGGCGUGCCUAAUACAUGCAAGUCGAGCGAACGGACGAGAAGCUUGCUUCUCUGAUGUUAGCGGCGGACGGGUGAGUAACACGUGUAUAACCUACCUAUAAGACUGGGAUAACUUCGGGAAACCGGAGCUAAUACCGGAUAAUAUUUUGAACGGCAUGGUUCAAAGGUGAAAGACGGUCUUGCUGUCACUUAUAGAUGGAUCCGCGCUGCAUUAGCUAGUUGGUAAGGUAACGGCUUACCAAGGCAACGAUGCAUAGCCGACCUGAGAGGGUGAUCGGCCACACUAGAACUGAGACACGGUCCAGACUCCUACGGGAGGCAGCAGUAGGGAAUCUUACGCAAUGGGCGAAAGCAUGACGGAGCAACGCCGCGUGAGAGAUGAAGGUCUUCGGAUCGUAAAACUCUGUUAUUAGGGAAGAACAUAUGUGUAAGUAACUGUGCACAUCUUGACGGUACCUAAUCAGAAAGCCCCGGCUAACUACGUG